rnacentral:misc_RNA from 1 species
GAUGAAGAACGCAGCGAAAUGCGAUAAGUAAUGUGAAUUGCAGAAUUCAGUGAAUCAUCGAAUCUUUGAACGCACAUUGCGCCCCCUGGUAUUCCGGGGGGCAUGCCUGUUCGAGCGUCAUUUCACCACUCAAGCCUCGCUUGGUAUUGGGCAACGCGGUCCGCCGCGUGCCUCAAAUCGACCGGCUGGGUCUUCUGUCCCCUAAGCGUUGUGGAAACUUUCGCUAAAGGGUGUUCGGGAGGCUACGCCGUAAAACAACCCCAUUUCUAAGGUUGACCUCGGAUCAUGUAGGGAUACCCGCUGAACUUAAGCAUAUCAAUAAGCGGAGGA